AAGCCUAUCAAAUUCUUCAAUGAAAUGCAAGAACUAUUCCUCAACAGCAGUGCUGAUGGUUCUCUUGCUAUGGAUGCUACUAAUUGCAUGAAUGACCCUCAAACUAACGACACACAGGGUGAUGAAGAUAAUGAUUAUGAUGAUGAUAUAUUCAAUGACCUGUCAAACUAUGCUCAGCCUGUAGAUGACCUAAGUGAUGAUUCUGACACUUUACCUUCUCCAAUAAGUGGUCAACCUAACUUUGCAUCUCAAGUUGCUGAGAAUAGCUCAUCUAGCUCUGGGAUGAAGCGUCUAAAAGCUGAAGGUAAACAUGCUAAGAGAGAUGUGAGACCAAAGAGCUGUAUGUAAAAAAUAGGAGAUACAAUUGCAACUACUUUAGUGACCCUUCAAAACAAAUCAAGAAGCCAGCGCCAGCUCCACCUCCUAUGCCUAAUUCUGAUGGUAUAUUGUGGCAAAGACUUGAAAAUAUGAUACUAACUACCGAUUAAAAGGUGAUGGUAGGAAACUUUCUAGCACAUAAAGAUCAAAAGGGUAUGCGUGGUUUUCUAUCUGGUUUAGCUGAGGUGAUAUUUCAAUCAUGGGUAUUCAAAUUUCUUAGUGAUGCGGGGCUGUGAAUUUCCCUGGGUGGUUGGCCGCUUUUGUUUAUGUGCCCAGACUCAUCCAAGAACUUAACUGAAGAUGGAUGGUGUCAAUGAAGGCUCGUUCUUUUGCACUUCUUCUAGGCUGAUAUAUGAUGGCUAUGAAGAUAGAUGGUGUUGCUCACAUUAAUUUGUUUAGCACUUAGAUGAUGCUUCACACUUUUGUUAAUGCAUACUUUGCUAUAAUGUAACUAAUAUGAACCAAUUAAGGUUGUUAUUGAUAUGAU